rnacentral:rRNA from 1 species
UACAGAGGGUGCAAGCGUUAUUCGGAAUCACUGGGCGUAAAGCGCAUGUAGGUUGAGUAUCAAGUCAGGUGUGAAAUCCCGGAGCUUAACUUCGGAAUGGCAUUUGAAACUGAUAUUCUUGAGAUUGGGAGAGGGAAGUGGAAUUCCAGGUGUAGAGGUGAAAUUCGUAGAUAUCUGGAGGAACAUCGGAGGCGAAGGCGGCUUCCUGGUCCAAUUCUGACACUGAGAUGCGAGAGCGUGGGGAG